UACGGAGGGUGCAAGCGUUAUCCGGAUUCACUGGGUUUAAAGGGUGCGUAGGCGGAUAUAUAAGUCGGUGGUGAAAGCUCGUAGCUUAACUAUGAAACUGCCAUUGAAACUGUAUAUCUUGAGUAUUAUUGAAGUGGGCGGGAUACAUCAUGUAGCGGUGAAAUGCUUAGAUAUGAUGUAGAACACCGAUUGCGAAGGCAGCUCACUAAAUGAUAACUGACGCUGAGGCACGAAAGCGUGGGUAUCGAACAGG
rnacentral:rRNA from 1 species